GGUUGGUCGUGCCACUGGUACGUACUGGUCUCACUGGAACUCCUCCUUCCUGAUGAACUGUAAUGCCAUUAAUUUGGUGUUGCGGGGAAACUGGACUGUUACUUUGAAAAAAUUAGAGUGUUUAAAGCAAGCUAACGCUUGAAUACAUUAGCAUGGAAUAAUGAAAUAGGACGUUCGAUCCUAUUUUAGUUGGUUUCUAGGAUUGACGUAAUGAUUAAUAGGGAUAGUUGGGGGCAUUAGUAUUCAAUUGUCAGAGGUGAAAUUCUUGGAUUUAUUGAAGACUAACUACUGCAAAGCAUUUGCCAAGGAUGUUUUCAUUAAUCAAGAACGAAAGUUAGGGGGAUCGAAGACGAUCAGAUACCGUCGUAGUCUUAACCAUAAACUAUGCCGACUAGGGAUCGGAUGAUGUUAAUUUUUAAUGACUCAUUCGGCGCCUUACG
rnacentral:rRNA from 1 species